AUCUUUCCUAGUCUAUUCAGCUAUGGCCAGAGAAGAUGUGCUUAACUUGUGGAGCCUUACUGUUUCUCUAAGGACAUUCUUCUACAUAAUGUUGCGUCAGUAGAAUAAUUUUCUCACCAAGUGAUAGCUAGGUAGGUCAGUAAAUCCUCUCCUACACCGUAGUUAUUUGCUUUAAGCCAACUUGAAGUGAACUUCUGUCUCUUCUUUAAUCUGAGAAUCUUACGUCUUCAAGCCCUGUUCACACCGCUUGUCCCAUUAGAAUA
rnacentral:lncRNA from 1 species